rnacentral:piRNA from 1 species
AGCAGGAAUUCCUUUUAGGUGGC